UACGAAGGGGCUAGCGUUGCUCGGAAUCACUGGGCGUAAAGGUGCGUAGGCGGGUCUUUAAGUCAGGGGUGAAAUCCUGGAGCUCAACUCCAGAACUGCCUUUGAUACUGGCGAUCUUGAGUCCGGGAGAGGUGAGUGGAACUGCGAGUGUAGAGGUGAAAUUCGUAGAUAUUCGCAAGAACACCAGUGGCGAAGGCGGCUCACUGGCCCGGUACUGACGCUGAGGUGCG
rnacentral:rRNA from 1 species